rnacentral:rRNA from 1 species
GACGAACGCUGGCGGCGUGCUUAACACAUGCAAGUCGAACGGAAAGGCCCUGCUUUUGUGGGGUGCUCGAGUGGCGAACGGGUGAGUAACACGUGAGUAACCUGCCCUUGACUUUGGGAUAACUUCAGGAAACUGGGGCUAAUACCGGAUAGGAGCUCCUGCUGCAUGGUGGGGGUUGGAAAGUUUCGGCGGUUGGGGAUGGACUCGCGGCUUAUCAGCUUGUUGGUGGGGUAGUGGCUUACCAAGGCUUUGACGGGUAGCCGGCCUGAGAGGGUGACCGGCCACAUUGGGACUGAGAUACGGCCCAGACUCCUACGUGAGGCAGCAGUGGGGAAUAUUGCACAAUGGGCGGAAGCCUGAUGCAGCAACGCCGCGUGCGGGAUGACGGCCUUCGGGUUGUAAACCGCUUUCGCCUGUGACGAAGCGUGAGUGAUGGUAAUGGGUAAAGAAGCACCGGCUAACUACGUG